rnacentral:rRNA from 1 species
UAGAGGAAGUAAAAGUCGUAACAAGGUUUCCGUAGGUGAACCUGCGGAAGGAUCAUUAUCGUGUAGUCCGGUCGUGCAUCUGCAUGUACUGUAUGAAAACCCACCCUGUGUACCGAAUCCCGUUGCUUCCGCUGGGCGUCCGGUGAGCGUUUUGGAGGUUCGUGAGACCCCCUCUCUCCUCCUCCAAGGUGCUGCUGGCGCUGGAUUCACGGCGUGCCUGGCGGAAGGCUAAAAUAACCUCCGAGUUUUUAAACUUAUGGAAUCUGUCUGAACAAAUUUUGAACCUUUGAAAUAUUUUAAAACUUUCAGCAACGGAUCUCUUGGUUCUCGCAUCGAUGAAGAACGCAGCGAAAUGCGAUAAGUAGUGUGAAUUGCAGAAUUCCGUGAAUCAUCGAAUCUUUGAACGCACAUUGCGCCUUCUGGUAUUCCGGGAGGCAUGCCUGUUCGAGAGUCAUUGACACAAACCACAUCGUCGACCCUCACCUUUCUAAAGGGGGGUGGGGGGUCGUCGGCGGUCCUGGUGGAUGAGGGGGGAAUAGUUGGCAAAUAUAUAUAAUAAUCUCCUCCCCACCGAAAUUGAGAGGCAGUCUGUGAGUGAUAAAAACCCACACAUGUUCGUUUAUGGCGUUGUAUAGACGGCUCUCAAAUUGUGGAGCCAACUCUGUUCGCUUGUAACAAACUUCCCUGGGUCUUACCUCGACUAGCCUUCCAAAGUUCCUAAAAUCUCAAGGGUUUGACCUCGGAUCAGGUAGGGAUACCCGCUGAACUUAAGCAUAUCAAUAA